AACGUAGGAGGCAAGCGUUAUCCGGAGUGACUGGGAGUAAAGCGCAUGUAGGCGGUUGGGCAAGUGGCGUGUGAAAGCGCUCGGCUAAACUGAGCGAGGACAGGUCAGACUGCCGAACUGGAGUCCGAUAGAGGAGCGUAGAAUUCCGGGUGUAGCGGUGAAAUGUGUAGAGAUCCGGAGGAAUACCAGUGGCGCAAGCGGCGCUCUGGGUCGGGACUGACGCUGAGAUGCGAAAGCGUGGGGAGCGAACGGG
rnacentral:rRNA from 1 species